rnacentral:hammerhead_ribozyme from 1 species
AUCCAGCUGACACGUCCCAAGUAGGACGAAACGCGUGUCCUAGAU